GCGGCGGGGUAUACGGUCGCGGGGAGUUUCCUUUGCGGAAACUUCACGAGGAAAGUCCGGGCUUCACAGGGCAGGAUGCCGGAUAACGUCCGGCAGGGGUAACCCUCGGGAAAGCGCAGCAGAAAACAACCGCCUCUUUUGAGGUAAGGGUGAAAAGGCAGUGUAAGAGACUACCGCCUCGCUGGUAACAGGGAGGGCAUAUGCAAGCCCCAUCCGAAGCAAGACUGAAUAGGAGCGCAGGCGGCCCGCUCAUGCUCCAGGUAAGUUGCUUGAGCCGUUCGGCGACGGACGGCCUAGACAGAUGACCGUACACGACAGAACCCGGCUUAUCGCCCCACCGCAUUU
rnacentral:RNase_P_RNA from 1 species